rnacentral:rRNA from 1 species
CAUGGAGGGUGAGAAUCCCGUCCGGUUGAUCAUUUGCGUUUUACGAUACGCUCUCUAAGAGUCAAGUUGUUUGGGAUUGCAGCUUAAAAUGGGAGGUAAAUUUCUCCUAAGGCUAAAUAACGGCGAGAGACCGAUAGUGAACAAGUACCGUGAGGGAAAGAUGAAAAGAACUUUGAAAAGAGAGUUAAACAGUACGUGAAAUUGUUGAAAGGGAAACGAUUGAAGCCAGUCGUACCUUCGGGUAAUCAGCCUUUCGGGUGCGAUUCUGUGGGGUUUGAGGAGCUUAACACCUUCAUGCUUUGCAUAUUCGUGCUCUUGGGUGUACUUGCCCGUGUGGUUGGUUAACAUCAAUUUUGGUGGUCAUAAAAUGACUGGAGGAAUGUAGCUUCGAUCUCGUAUUGAAGUGUUAUAGCCUUCGGUAGAUGUGAUGAUCGAGAUUGAGGAUUGCAACGGAUACCCUUCGGGGCUACCUGUCUGGUCUCUGAUCGUUGCUUUGGUGCCGAAAGCUUGCUUACGGUUAUCAAAGUCGAUGGUCAAUAGGUUAGAACGGGUUAAAUUCGUUAAGGAUGUUGACGUAAUGG